UAGCCUUAAACCAGUCAACAAGGAGAUAAUUUACCAUUACCUAUAUUUAGAUUACAUCCCUUGAACUGUAACAACCGCAUUUUCUGUCAUAAAUAAAAGAUGACGAUUCUGAUGAACAGGUGUUAUGUACCUUGAGUUAUAUUGUAAUUGCAAUGGCUGAAGUUUUGCUGCAAGAUAAAUAAGUGUUGAUUGGCAAUGCAGGAAGUAUUCCGAUUAAAGCAACACCAAAAAUGGUAGGACGGAAAUUUAGAGGAAAUGGAAGAAUUUACACAAUUUUGUCAAAAUAUGGGAUCAUCAUCAGCAGCAGCAGUAGCAGUGGCAGCAACAGCAUCAUUUCAACAUCUAUUUUUCCAUGCAUAGGUUGAAAAAAGUUUACACAGGCAGAUUUUCUAAUGCCAGAUGAGAUUCCAGGAGCCAACUCUUACUUGUUUCCAAGUAAGAUAUUUUUUCAUCAAUUAUUGUGCUUUUGCACAAUAUUGGAAAUGAAUAAAAUUGUUCAUAUGACAGUGACACUUGUUUUCACUUAUACAUGAUGUGAAGACAGGAACAUACACAUGCAUAUACAUGCAUACAUACAUACAUACAAAUCUGCACAUACAUACAUACAUACCUACCUACAUAUAUACAAACAAAAAUACCCAGUUGUUGAUGUUAUUCCAAUGAAGGAAUCUUGGAUCAAGGUUAGAAACCAGUUCUUACUCUAUUGGCAAGAAAUAUUGAAAUAAACUGAAUAAUGACAUACAUACAUACAUUAGAAAUUAACCGACUUGCACAUUUCAAAUAUAAUCUGUAAGUGGAAGAGAAAAGUUAUACAAGACAUUUCUGAAGUUUAAAAUGUAACAUAGCUUUUCAUCAAAGAAUGAAUUUAAAUACUUAAAAGCGAAAAAGAACGUUCAUACAUACAUAUCUAUGUAUACAUUUUAUGAAAUAUGAAGUAGACAUGGUGCUAAAGUAUAUACAUAUAUGUGAUGUGAUGUGUGUGUGUGUGUGUGCAUGUGCAUAUGUGUGUGUGUAUGUAUAUGUAUGCACACACUUCUUAAAUAUAUAUCCAUGACUGUGCUUCCAGUAUAUCCAUAUACGUAUAGAUGUAUGUACCAUCAUCAUCA